CCAGGGGGCGACAACUGCGACGCGGCCGCAGGCCCAGGGACUCAGCAACCGGAGGCGGCGGCCACUCUGCGCGCCGCUACUCUCACCUCCAGCUCUGCUUUGUGUGAAUCCUGCUUGCUGUACUUCCAGAGAAACUCCAAUGGAAUUGCUUCAUACAUGUAAAAAGAGAUAUUUACCUUUCUUCUGAAAUAUACCCUCUUCCAUGUCCAUUCAGAAUAUCUACUGCCCUAUCAGUGUACCGGUAUAUAAUUCCUGGACUGCAUUUCGUGUGUGUGUGUGUGUGUGUGUGUGUGUUGUUGUUGUUGUUGUUGUUGUUGUUAUUGUUGUUGUUGCUACUCUCAGCAUUUCAAGUUCCUUUGGAGAUGGCUUUCUUCCAGGGCAAUCCCUGGACUUCCAGGACAGAACAUCAAGGCAGGAAUGAUGGCAGCAGCACAUCUGGAGCAGCUGUUGGAAAACUGAAAAACUAAGAUCAAAGUUUUAAAAUGUUGCUCCAUGCACAUGGUCAUCAAUAACUAAAAGCAUUAGUAAUGACAAACUAGCCCUCUGUUUAUGAUGCCAUGUAUAAUGCACCAUGCUUCUUAAUUUUCCCCUUUCCUUUUACUAUGUGUUUUAUGAGUCAGUUAUUGAACUUUGAAGGUUGUUGUAAAGGGCUGAUAAUAAAAAU